UUUUCCCGUCCAACAGUACCACUCCCCUCUUUUAUCUAUCUCGUCUCGCAUUUAGGGCUUCCCCUUCUUUCAAAUCUCCUUCACUCUUUCUUGAUUUUCCCCUUCUUUCUCCUUGAAUCCUCUGUAAUCUAUCUUCAAGGCAAGUUUAUGUUUUUCGUUUAAGGUAAAGAUUAGGGUUAGGAGCAACGAGAGGGUGGGAUGCAACAUAGAAGGAUGAGAAUCCGAGUCUUGAUUCGACUUGCCAGCAAGUGAUCUAGCAGAUUUUGACGGAAUUUUGUAGAUCUGAACUGUUCAUGUUCGUCGGUGACGCCGGUGAUGAUGGAAUUUUGUCACCGUCACUUCUUUUCAGGUAUAUUUUACCAUCAACGAUAUUUCUUUGAAGAUACGAUCAAAUCCAGGUAUAACAUUCAUCUUCGAUCGUUUUUUUUAUUGAUUAUCCGAUCCGACUAUGAAGGUUUUUGUUUUUUUAUUGUUGCAUGUGUUUGGAUUUUUCGGACAGGAUUCAGGUAUUGUUUAUAUUUUUAGUUUAAUUGUUUGUGGGGUUAGAAACUGUACACUUAGUUCAGAUUAACAUAUUUAUCUAUUGUUAGGUAUGAUAUUUCGCAUCGUGAAUUUUGAAAUUCAUAGGAUUAGUUUUCUAUUGGUUUUUUUUAUUUAGUUUUGAAGCUUCAGACAAUUCAAUGUUAUAUAUAGGGGUUUUUAUAGGUUUUGUAUAUGGAUCUAAAUUUUGGUCUGCAAUGUUUAUAUAUUUUUUCAUAAAAAUGACCACUACAUCUGGUUCUUCGACCCGUUUCAAAUAUGAGAGAACAUGAUAAAAUAAAUUGGAAUUUCAAGUGGCUCAGGGGAAUAUUGCUACCUGGUGAAAUUCAGCAACCAGCAUGUUAGAAAACUUAAUAUGUGAGGAAUGUGGUGGUUGACAUUUUAAUCGGGUGUCUCCUCUACAAUUCUUCCGAUUUGAAAGCCGAUCAGCUUAAUAUCACGAAGAUCUUAUAUUUCUUGAAAUCGUCUUCUGCUUCGCCGUCAUCUUUUCCAGAUUAAAGUUUCUUGAAAUCGUCAUCUUCUCCAAUGCUUCCAUCGAUUCUUCUCUCGCGAAAUCUGCAAGUCCAGGUCAUGCUUCAAGCUGUCUCGAUCUUUUGGAGGUGGAUAGGUGGCAGAAAGAGAUGAUGAAAGCCUAAGGAAAGAUUACAUUGACCACAUCAUACAAAACAAGAAAUACAAGGCAGAAAGGUAUCAAUUCAAAGACUAGACCAUAAGUGAGCUUAAGCAAGAAAUUGCAAGAAUACAAAAGAUGCUUGAAGACUCAACAAUAAAACCAACCCCACCAGUCUGGUCCCAGUAUAAAAAGAAUGUACCUGAAAGGGCUUUGAAAUUGAAGAGAAUGAAGGAAGAGCUUAUAACUAUAAAUUAUGGCUCAAGGAAUCAAAUCACAAGGUGGACAGAGAUUAAAGUGAUAAAGACAUACAAAAAAUUGGAAGAAAGAAGAAAGAAAGAUUCCUCUGUUCCUAAAAAGCCAGAUUAUCCAGCAUCAGAGGUUUCAAUCAAACAGACCGUACCAACUAAAAGAUCUGCUAAACCCAUUGUUCCAUCUGCUGUUGUUGUCUAUCAAACAAAGAGGCAAAAACAGAUGGAUGAAGAAGAAGAGGCGCAACAAGAAUCCGAAUAUUUUAAAGUGGCCAUCAAACAGAUGUUGGUAGAAAAUCCUGACUCAGCAAAGCUACAAGAAAUAGCCAAAGGUCUGAACAACCAAAGGUGAACCACUGCCCAACAACAAUAGUAGUUUAGUAGUUCGGCAUCAACAGUAGAUAUUGCAUCAGUGUUUUAUGUUAACAGUGUUUAUAUGUAACAGUAUUUAUGCAGUAAAAUACACUUUGAGCAUUUUUGACCCGUUUAAUAUAUUAUCCUUUUAGUUAA